ACCCCCCCCGCUCCUCAUUCCCCUGACCCUAGCCCAUUCUCCACACCGCCCGCCGCCGCCGCCGCCUCCCGUCCCCUGGCGCCGCCACCAUGCCCACUCACCAUCGCGCCGUCGCGCCUUCCCCUCCUCCUCGCCCUCUCGCUGCUCAGCAGGAGGAGCACGGCUCGCCGCCGGCCCUCACGCGCCGCCUCUCUCCUCCUCCGCGUCGGGGCCGCUCGAUAGAGGGAACACUGAUGGCUUCAACGGGAGAAGCGGCAGGCCAACCCCCAGCGGCUGGCACCACCGGAUGGCGGCGGCGGCCACCUCCUCCCGGCCAGCCGCACCGCGCCAUGCCCAUUUUCGCGCCGAGCUGCCACUCUCUUCCGUGUGCACGCCCUUCCAGCCUCAUGGCGGGAGAAGAGGAAGGAGAAGCCCUGCAACCUCCAUUCCUGUUCAUUUCUUUAUGUGCAUCGGUCGGCUGGCUUUGCACACCCAACCUUUCCACCUCCACGCCCACCUGUUUCUGCAUCCCUUUCUUGUAGUGCUACGAUGACGGGCCUCCUCCACCAACCCCUGCCAUGCCUUCUGGAGGAGAAGGAGGCGGCGGCAGCGGCUCCCUGACUGCUGCCUCCCCCACCUCCAGCUGCUCCUACGGUGCAGCUAGAUUGGUAUUUGCUGCUCUACCGCCGCCUCAGCAGCUGCUCAUGCCCCUGUCCCAAUGAAGCCGCAGGAGAGUCCUGCUGAAACGAGGGUGGCCCUGCAUCCAAACCCGGCCCCACCCACAUCCACAUCCGCAUCCGGAGGCAGCAAGGUGCCGAUCCCAGCAUGAGUUGUCCUGUAAGGCGCUGGUGGUGGUUGUUUGUUAACAGAUUGACUUUGCGAUAUGUUGAGUGGAUCACCAUCUCAAGGAAUGGUCAAUCAGAGAAGAAGGGUUUCCACCAAAAAUCCACUUGUGAUAUGUCGAGUGGAUCACCAUCUCAAGGAAUGGUCAAUUAGAGAAGAGGGUUACCACCAAAAACUAGGUACAACUCAGGUAGACUAGAGAUUACAAAAAGGAUUUGAACUCCAAACCCAAAACUAAGGCUGAUUGAUACAUAGCUUCAAGGUAGAAGCUAAGGGAAAGAAAGAGAGAAAAGGAAAUAUGCCAUCGAGGACAAGGUUCAUAAGAGAUGGAGUGGCAACACAGAGAAUAUUUGCAACUACCAGUCAACACCAUUCAUUUGAUUCUUAGCACGAAAGCUACCGGUGGAAUGAGAAUUUGUAGCACACCACUACCAGGCUUACCACUAUCUUGGGUUUGAAGAGAAAAUGUAGUUAAGUACCAGCUGAAGGUAAAUACUCCCUCCGUUCCAAAAUAAGUGUCUUAGGCUUAGUAGUUAGUACAAAGUUGAGACACUUAUUUUGGGACGGAGGGAAGAGAAGAUUAGUGCUCCCUUAUUGAUUACCUGGCCCAUGAUGGCUUUGCACGCCCGUGAUGGCUUUGCGCACACCUUCUUAAUAGUCCUAUUUAUUAAUAUAAUGUGUGAUGGAAGUAUCAGUUUGCCUGGUUUUCGUCGCACUUAUUGUAUAGCUUCCUUCUUUUAUAUUCUUAGAUGGCCUCUUGAUCCAUGGCACUGUCAUGUGAAUGCUCUGUCUUUUCAGUUACAUAGAUUCAUUAUUCAUGCCUCAGGCCUUCUACUUACUGGAAUAGGCAACAAAUGGAGGAGGGUAGACUAUAGACAUUUUCACCGUGUUGUUUCUUUCAGGAAACCAUUUUAUUAUGUACAUGGUUGUUUAAUAUCUUUAUAUUAGUGUUUGAUGUUUAGCUUUAACCAGAAACUUGUGCUAGGUGCUUUCCACUGGCAUUUUUUUCUAUUUAAAAAAUUGGUCAGAGGACGAAUGAAGCAACAAAAAUUAUGUUGGUCCAUAGAGCCCUACUACAUUCCUUUCCUGGCUAAAAAGGGAGUAUUGUCACUCGCUGUCUACCCACUUCGACCAGAUUCAUAUGACAUGGCACAUGAGGAGUUAGGCAACGAGAUACGAGUGAAACUAUGAGAUGACCGAGUGAAACUACUGAACAUUAUGAUUUAGUAGAACUACAUAGGCCGCUCUGGCUUGCUUGGAUAUGUAACAACCCAACUAUUGUCCCUACUUAAUGAAGAUCCAUAGUCUUGACUUA